GUGUUCUCUUUGGCAGCACAUAUGCUAAAAUUGGAAUGAUACAGAGAAGAUUAGCCAUGGCCCCUGCACAAGGAUGACAUGCAAAUUCGGGAAGCGUUCCAUAUUUUU
rnacentral:snRNA from 1 species